rnacentral:rRNA from 1 species
CUGUGCCUACGGGACGCAGCAGUGGGGAAUAUUGCACAAUGGGGGAAACCCUGAUGCAGCAACGCCGCGUGGGUGAAGGAGCGUUUCGGCGCGUAAAGCCCUGUCAGCGGGGAAGAAGAAAGACGGCACCCGACCAAGAAGCCCCGGCUAACUACGUGCCAGCAGCCGCGGUAAUACGUAGGGGGCGAGCGUUAUCCGGAAUUACUGGGUGUAAAGGGAGCGUAGACGGCCAGACAAGUCUGAAGUGAAAAUCCAGCGCUUAACGUUGGAAGUGCUUUGGAAACUGCCGGGCUAGAGUGCAGGAG